ensembl:lncRNA
UCCAUGUUGUAGCAUGUGCCAAGACUUCCUUCCUUUUUAAGCCUGAACAGUGUUCUAUUGCAUAUAUAUACCACAGUUUGUUUAUCCAUUCAUCUAUCAGUGAGUAUUUAGGUUGCUUCUACCGCUUGACUAUUGUGAAUAAUUCUGCUGUGAACGAGUGUACUUUCAGUUCUUUUGGGUAUACACCCAGAAGAGGGAUUGCUGGAUCAAAUGGUAGCUCUUUUUAAAAAUUUUUUGAGAAACCACUACAUUGUUUUCCAUAGUGGCUGUACAAUUUUAUAAUCCCAUCAACAGUGCACGAAAAAUUCAGUUUCUUCACAUCCCUGACAGCACUUGUUAAUUUGGUUUUGGAUUUUUUUUGUUUGGUUGUUUAUUUGUUUGUUUUAAUAGUAGCCAUCCUAAUGGGUGUGAUUUUGAUUUGCACUUCUCUAAUGAUUAGUGAUGUUGAGCAUUUUUCAUAUACUUGUUAACCAUUUAUAUCCCAUCUUUGGAAAAAUGUCUUUUCAAGUCUUUUGCCUUGUAAAAACUGGGGUUUUUUUUGAUGUUGCUCUUGUUGAGUUAUAAGAGUUCUAUUCAAAUUCUGAAUACUAACACCUUAUCAGAUAUAUGAUUUGCAGAUAUUUUUUCCCCAAUCUGUAGGUUGCCUUUUUACUCCGUUGACUGUAUCAGUUGAGGCACAGAAAUUUUAAGUUUGAUCUAGUUUGAUCCGUGGCCUCACUCAGUGGGUUAAGGAUCCGGCAUUGCCAUGAGCAGUGGUGUAGAUCGCAAGCAUGGCUUGGAUCUCACGUUGCUGUGGCUGUGGGCUAGGCCGGCAGCUGUAGAUUUGAUUCCUAGCCUGGUAUCUUCCAUAUGCUGCAGAUGCGGCCCUAAAAAGCAAAAUAAAUAAAUAAAAAAUAAAAGUUAACUGUUAAGGCAAAAAGACAGUAUUCUGUUCUAUUCUAUACCAUUCAGUUUUUUAAAAUGCUGAUUACCCUGUAAAUUGAUCUCACAAUCAACUAAUAUAUUAUAACCCAUAAUUUGAAAACACUAUCAUAACUCAUCCAUAAAAUAUUAAUAAUAUCUUCCAUAGCUGAUAUUAUCAGUUCCUCUAAAUCUUUAUCAGUGUUUCUCUCUGGGUCAUAAUUAAUUCUGCAAUUUGUUUCUUGAAGACAAAGCAAUUCUAACCCACUUUAUAAGACCAUCUGAAUAAUGGUGUGUUUUGCCUGUGAAAUACACUCAUUGUGGGAAAUUACAGAAUUGAAUCACAUUCCUUUCUUUUUUCUUGAGCCCUUGCAAUCAGAUUUGCACAAAUCAAAUUUACCUAUGAUUUGAAUCUACUGAAUCAGUUACUUCUAAUUCCAAAACUGGAAAUUGUAUGUUUAUAUAUUUUGACCACUUAAUCUGUUGAGGACUUCUACAUUUUUCUUAUCCCUUUUGUAUCAGCUUCACAUUUUAUACACCUUAGCUACUGAGAGACCGAAUAUAAAAACAGACAAUAGCUAGAUCAUGUAUGACAACAGAAUUAUGUCCAGCAACCUCUGCUGCAGCCAGUCCAGGCCACCAAAACAGAACCUCUGUAGAAAUUGGCCUAGAAUCCUUAGGACUUGGUCAGUGAUGGUCAGUUUUCCUUGUUUUUGUUUUUGUUCUCUCUUCCCAAUUUCCAACUCAGGACCAAGCAGAGAAAGCCAAAUAUGCUCCUCAAACUAAUGUCAUAAGAUGCCCUGCUUCUAUUUAGUCUGCCUCUAGCUUCUCUGCCAAACAACUCCAAUCAAAGCACACCUUAGGCCUUCUAGUUUUUUCACCAUUAAGGCUUUCCCAUUCCUCCUACAGGCUUUGAAAAGCAUGUACUGAUGACUCUCUUUUUCAGUAAACUCUGAAUCCUCGUUUGUGUAGGUCUUAAUUUCCAUAUUACAUUUGUUGCAAAUUCUCUUCCCAUUUGGUUGUUUAAAUUUUUUAAUGAUGUUAUGAUUUUGUUUAUGAUCCUUUUAACGUAUAUGAUUAAAAUUUUUAUGUAAUCAAAUCUAUUCAACUCUUCGGUGGUGAGACUUUUCCGUCACUUUUGCUUGGCAAAUCCUUCCCAAGGACAUAUAAUAUCCAGGCAGGGGAGGGACCCUCUGGUUCCCUGGCUUCUUGUGUAACCUGCAGUCUACUAGCAGUGGGGGUGAAGGCAAUCAGGGUCCCAGGAUUCUUAGCUUGGUCCCCUGAGGUAGAGCUUCUGCCCUGUGAGUAGGCGCUGGGUCUAAGAAGAGAAUCCUCAACCCCUUGUCCAACCCCUGGCCAUCUGCCCAGAGUUUGUCCUUUGCAGCACAUUGCUGGGAAGGAUAAGAAAUGCUAAUGACCUGCCCUUCUUGGGGAAAUGCUCUAGUUGUUGCCUGGGAGCUGGAGGGGAGAGGAGCUUCCAUCCCACUGAGCUCAUUGGGAGGAGUAAGUUGUGGCUCAAGUGCCACACUCACCUAUUGAUCUUAGCAACAUUUAGUAGAUGUUCUUGGAUAAAUGUAUCUUCAUUUGCUGUAUGCUCUUAGGGCUAUUUUCAGAGUAUUUAAAUGUGCUUGUUUUUGUUAAUUUUCUCCAGUUAGAAUUAUUUUGCCAGGUGGUUGGUCCUUAGAGCUCCUCAUGCCACCAUUUUAACAGUGUUUCUCAAUAAACGUUUCUUUGCAUUUUGCUUGUUUCAUUUAAUGAUAUAUCCUGGAAAUCACUUCCUAUCAGUUCUUCCUCUUUCAUUUUACAAUGGCAAAAUCAUCACCAUGUGGAUGUAUCAUAGUUUAUUCAAACAUUCUCUUAUGAAGGGAAAUUUAGGUUGUUUCCAAUCUCUUGCAAUUACAAACAAUACUGCAGUGAACAACCAUAUCCACGUGUGUUUUCAUAUUGGUGGAGGCAUGCAUUCAGAGUAGAUUCCUAGAGUAGUAUUGUUGGGACAAAAUGUUUAAGUACAUAUAUACUUUAUCAGAUAUCAGCAAAUUCCCCUCCAAAAGAGUUAUACCAAUUUCCCAGUUUUUACCAGCAAAAUAUGAGAGUACCAGUUUCCCCACAGCCUUACCAACAGAAUGUGCUGCCAUUUCCCCCGCCACCGCCAAUUUUUCCAAGUCUAGUAGGUAAAAAAUGGCUUAUCAGUUUAGCUUCAAUGUGUAUUUCUCUAAUUAUAAGUGAGUUGAACAUUUUUAUGUACUUUAAAGACCAUUUUUAUAUCUUUUCGUGAACUCCUUGUUCCUAUCUUUUUCCCUUCAUUUUUUUCUAUUGAGUUUUUGGUCCUUUAUUCCUCAAAUAAAUUUUAGAGUUUUAAAAAAUAUUGGUGAUAUCAGUCCUUUAUGUGUAAUGUAUGUUGCAAACAUUUUCUCCCAGUUCAUCAGUUAUCUUUUUACUUUGUUUAUGAUACAUAUUUUUGCCAUUCAAAAGUUUAUUUUCAGGAGUUCGAGUUGUGGCUCAAACAUUAGCAAACCCGACUAGCAUUGAUGAGGAUGCGGGUUUAAUCCCUGGCCUCGCUCAGUGGGUUCAGGAUCUGGCAUUGCUGUGAGCUGUGGUGUAGGUCGCAGAUGCGGCUCGGAUCCCGUGUUGCUGUGGCUCUGGUGUAGGCCAGCGGCUACAGCUCUGAAUGGACCACUGGCCUGGGAACCUCCAUAUGCCCCUGGUGCUGCCCUAAAAGACAAAAAGCCAAAAAAAAAAAAAAAAAAAAAA